rnacentral:rRNA from 1 species
UUAAAGUCUAACCUGCCCACUGAAAAUUUUAAAUGGCCGCAGUAUUCUAACUGUGCAAAGGUAGCAUAAUCAUUAGUCUUUUAAUUGAAGGCUGGAAUGAAUGGUUGGACGAAAUAUUAACUGUUUCAUUUAAAUUUUUUAUAGAAUUUUAUUUUUUAGUCAAAAAGCUAAAAUAAAUUUAAAAGACGAGAAGACCCUAUAAAUCUUUAUAUUUUAUUUAUUUUAAUUAUAAAGAUUAUUUUUAUUAUAAUAAAUUAAAAUAUUUUAUUGGGGUGAUAUUAAAAUUUAAAAAACUUUUAAUUUUUAAAACCAUUAAUUUAUGAAUAAUUGAUCCAUUAAUAAUGAUUAAAAAUUUAAGUUACUUUAGGGAUAACAGCGUAAUUUUUUUGGAGAGUUCAUAUCGAUAAAAAAGAUUGCGACCUCGAUGUUGGAUUAAGAUAUAAUUUUGGGUGUAGCCGUUCAAAUUUUAAGUCUGUUCGACUUUUAAAUUCUUACAUGAUCUGAGUUCAAACCGGCGUAAGCCAGGUUGGUUUCUAUCUUUAAAAAAUUAAAAUAUUUUAGUACGAAAGGACCAAAUAUUAAAAUAAUUAUAUUUUUAAUAAGAAUGUUAUUAAUUUAA